rnacentral:rRNA from 1 species
UACGUAGGGGGCAAGCGUUGUCCGGAUUUAUUGGGCGUAAAGAGCGUGUAGGUGGCCUGGUAGGUCAGCUGUGAAAACUCGAGGCUCAACCUCGAGACGCCGGUUGAAACCAUCAGGCUAGAGUCCGGAAGAGGAGAGUGGAAUUCCCGGUGUAGCGGUGAAAUGCGCAGAUAUCGGGAAGAACACCCGUGGCUAAGGCGGCUCUCUAGUACGGUACUGACGCUGAGACGCGAAAGCGUGGGGAGCGAACAGG